GAGGACUUUCGGGCGGUGCUGCCCGACCUCGGCCCUGAACGCGAGAUGCUGACUAUCGGCAGACCAGAAUGUUUAGAAUGAGGAAGACAAGCGGGUCGCUGUGAAUGAACCCUUAAGUCCCGUAUCCAUGACGUUCGCAGUUUCGCUGGAGACCCUGGUAUGCAGGAGAGCGAAAUCUCUGCGGGCUAGCCCGGUCCGUCCUCGCCGGUACCAGACCUCCACGUUCCCAGAGCCUCCAGCGUUUCCUCUGGACGCCCGGGCCGGAUAUGAUGUCUCCGUAGAGGAAGAAGGAAGAGGCGGAGCGGGGAGCGGUGACGUCCUUCCAAGAUGGCGGAGAGAGCGUGAAGAAACUGUUGCCCCUUGAUUUGCUCUAGAACAAGGGUAAAAUUCCAUUCUGAUCUCAAAAUGCAGUAUUCGCACCACUGUGAGCACCUUUUAGAGAGACUGAACAAACAGCGGGAAGCAGGUUUUCUUUGUGACUGCACCGUAGUGAUUGGGGAAUUCCAGUUUAAAGCUCAUAGAAAUGUCCUUGCCUCAUUUAGUGAGUAUUUUGGUGCGAUCUACAGAAGCACUUCUGAGAACAAUGUCUUCCUUGAUCAGAGUCAAGUGAAGGCUGAUGGAUUUCAGAAACUGUUGGAGUUUAUAUACACAGGAACUUUAAAUCUUGACAGUUGGAAUGUUAAAGAAAUUCAUCAGGCUGCUGACUAUCUCAAAGUGGAAGAGGUGGUCACUAAAUGUAAAAUAAAGAUGGAAGAUUUUGCUUUUAUUGCUAAUCCCUCUUCUACAGAGAUAUCUAGUAUUACUGGAAACAUUGAAUUGAAUCAACAGACUUGUCUCCUUACUCUACGGGAUUAUAACAGUCGGGAAAAAUCAGAAGUGUCUACAGAUUUAGUUCAGGCAAAUCCUAAACAAGGGGCUUUAGCAAAGAAGUCAUCUCAAACGAAAAAGAAGAAGAAGGCCUUCAACUCCCAGAAAACAGGACAGAAUAAAACAGUGCAAUAUCCCAGUGACAUUUUAGAGAAUGCAUCUGUUGAAUUAUUCUUAGAUGCAAAUAAAUUGUCCAGUCCUGUAAUAGAACAAGUUGCACAAAGAAAUGAUAAUUCAGAACUCGAGUUGACAUCAGUUGUGGAAAAUACUUUUCCAGCACAAGAUAUUGUGCAAACUGUUACAGUGAAACGGAAACGUGGAAAAUCACAGCCAAACUGUGCUCUGAAAGAACAUUCUAUGUCUAAUAUAGCCAGUGUCAAGAAUUCUUAUGAGCUGGAGAGCUCUGGGGAAGAGCUGGAUCAGAGGUAUUCCAAGGCCAAGCCAAUGUGUAACACAUGUGGGAAAGUGUUUUCAGAAGCCAGCAGCUUGAGAAGGCACAUGAGAAUACAUAAAGGAGUUAAACCUUAUGUCUGCCACUUGUGUGGAAAGGCAUUUACGCAAUGUAACCAGCUGAAAACGCAUGUAAGAACUCAUACAGGUGAGAAGCCAUACAAAUGUGAAUUGUGUGAUAAAGGAUUUGCUCAGAAAUGCCAGCUAGUCUUCCAUAGUCGUAUGCAUCAUGGUGAGGAAAAACCCUAUAAAUGUGAUGUAUGCAAUUUACAAUUUGCAACUUCUAGCAAUCUCAAGAUUCAUGCAAGGAAGCAUAGUGGAGAGAAGCCAUAUGUCUGUGAUAGGUGUGGACAGAGAUUUGCUCAAGCCAGCACAUUGACCUAUCAUGUUCGUAGGCAUACUGGAGAAAAGCCGUAUGUGUGUGAUACUUGUGGGAAGGCAUUUGCUGUCUCUAGUUCUCUUAUCACUCAUUCUCGAAAACAUACAGGUGAAAAACCAUACAUAUGUGGUAUUUGUGGGAAAAGUUUUAUUUCCUCAGGAGAGCUCAACAAACACUUUCGAUCCCAUACAGGAGAAAGGCCAUUUAUCUGCGAAUUAUGUGGAAAUUCUUACACAGAUAUUAAAAAUUUAAAGAAGCACAAAACAAAAGUCCAUUCCGGUGCAGAUAAACUUCUAGAUUCUAGUAUAGAGGAUCAUCCGUUGAAUGAACAAGAUUCUAUACAAAAAAGUCCUUUAUCAGAAACACUGGAUGUGAAGCCUUCUGAUAUGACUUUACCACUAUCUCUUCCGCUUGGAACUGAGGACCACCACAUCCUUCUGCCUGUCACAGAUAACCAGUCUCCUACAUCAGAUACGUUGUUGAGAUCAACUGUGAAUGGGUAUUCAGAGCCACAGUUGAUUUUUUUACAGCAAUUAUACUGACUUUGUGAGGAAUAUGGAAUUGCUAAGACGUCUUUGGUAGUAAACAUAAACAUCUCUGGAAUUUAUUGGAAUGUGAAGAAAUUAAAGAAAAUUAAAAGACAGCCUCUUUAAGAAGUCUGCUGAAAUGGAGAGGUUAUAUUUAAUUCACAUCUUCAUUAAUCCAAGCAUCUAAAGAAUAAAAUUUCAAAAUGGCUACAGUGAUGUCAAAAUUUUAUGAGAGCUGUAGUUACCAAAUUUCUUCUAAUAAUGGUAAUUAGCAUUUUUUAUAGAUUAGUCCUCAGAUUUAUUAUUUUUAAUAUUAUUGGAUUGGAAUGGGUAAGGUUGAUUUACUGUGUUUUUUCUCCAUCACAUUAUCUGCUUCAUAACUAAAAUACUUUCUUUUAAAAUUGACAUGUCUCGAUGUUCUUCCAGAGUGACAUGUGAGAAAUCUUGAAGGCUGAGGUCCCUGUCUUGUCAUUCUUCUCAUAAUGCUAUACAAUUUUUUAUGAUAAUAUGCUUAUAUUUUAGUUGUAUCUGGUGUCAUUUUAACACUCAAUUACCGUUUAAAUAAGUCUGGUUUUAAAUAUAUUUGUUACAAUGCAGUUUUGGGAAAGGUCUAUUCUUAAUAUUAUUACGUUUUUGAAAGUGUUUAGGAUGUUGAAGCUCUCACUGAGAAAUUAUUUUCUAAAAUAAUUUUGUAUGUAUUAGAUUAUUCCUACUGUAUUGUUAGAUUUUAGACUUUUUAAAAAGAAACCAUAGAUUAUAUAUAAAUGAUUUUUUGCUGUUUUUAAAUGGUACUUGUUUUAUGUUUAAUUUCAUAGGAUAAUUUUGAUAGACAAAUUUUAGAAAAAAAAUUUUUUUAAUGGUUCUGAUGUUCUGUUGCAAAAGUAGUUUAGCACUUCUGUAUGUUUCAGUUCUACAGAAAUUGUACGAGUGAGAGUAGUUGAAAUGUACAUGUAUAAAAACAAUGUACAUAUAGUUGUUUUUAAAAAUAUCCUAGAAUAAUAGUUCUAACAUUUAAUGCAUAUCAGAAACAUUUUAAAAUAACACUGUCCCAGUCCCACCCCACCUUAGUCUUACUAAAUCAUACAAUCUGUGGGAUAUAUAUGAUGGAAAAGCCCCAUAGCAGAUUUUAAUGUAACCAGACAUUGAGAACCAAUAUCCUAAAUGUUUCUUGGUGUUCUUUUGGAAAGCAUUUAAAAAUGAAGCUCUUGAUAUAAUUUUCCAUCUUGUACUUAGAUUUUGAGUUUUUAGAACUUUACUAGAAAUACCACCAAGUAAAAAGAAAUUGUAUUUUAAUGCAAUUUCUGUAUAUUCUACAUUUUUACUCUUUAUUUAUAAACAACUUGGAGAUUUAGUUAUUGGAGCAUUAAUUUUUAUUUUUAUUUUUUUUUGGUGGAGCAUUAAUUUCUUGAGACAAUGAUAUGGUUACUCUUUUGUCCUCUGCAACCCCUGCCCCCCAUUCAUUCAAGAGAAAUUUGGGGGGCAUAUGGGUGGCUCAGGCUGUUAGGUGUCUGACUCUUGAUUUUGGCUCAAAUCAUGAACUCAUGGUGAUGAGAUUGAGCACUGUGUAGGGCUCCGCGCUGGGCAUGGAGCCUGCUUAAUAUUCUCCCUCUCCCUCUUCCUCUGCCCCUUCACUGCAUGUGCGCAUGCUCCCAUGCGUGCACUUUCUCAAAAAAGAGAGAUUUGGUUUAUUUGUUUAAGGAAUUAGAUCAUUAUCAUGUAAACAUAAUAACCACCCAGAAGUAGGGUAUUUAAUAUCGAGAAGAAUGCACUAAAAUAAAUACCAUAGGUGUGAAUAGAUACCUGGAUUAAAAUGUCUGGCCAGUAUUUCAAAUGCUAGAAAAUUAUUGAAAUCAAUACAUAAACCUACAAAGAUAAAUAAACUAAAUACCACCCUAAGUCAAAUGGGAAAGAAAAGCCUGAAUAUAACUGGCAGUAAACAAGACAAUGUCAAGUGUUACAGGGGAAGGCAAGAAAGAAAAUAUUGAGCAGUCAGCCAGAGUUGAAUGGGCAGAAAAAGGGCCAUUACUCCCAUGGAUAGGCGAACAAGAAGAAAUGGAUGAUAGGAAGGAAUGUGCACACAGCUAACUGAAAUAGGCAGAAUGAAAAAAGUAUGAAACAGGGAGGAGUGAAAGACAUGUCCAGUGCUGUGCCUACGUCAUCUUACAUGAAAUAGUCCUCAGUCCUCUGCCUGUGCUGAGGAGUAGGAUUGGAUAGCCAGGUUUAUAACCCAUGAUCUCACACACCCAAGCACAGUUGACUGCUGAAGGGCAGGGGUUAGAUAGCCACAUUUAUAACACAUGAUUCCAUACUAUGUCCACAGCUAACCGAACAGUUUACCAGGGAGAAACAACUCUUAGGCCCGACUGAGCGGUUAGAUUCUCAAGAAUUUGAGUUUUGAAAUUCAGAGACUGUUAGGUUUUGGUAUACAUGUGAGUGGAAAGAUCGUUUAGAACUGGCCCAGAGUCAGUGAAGCAAGCCGCAGUCUACAGGAAAUUAUGAAUAAGCAGAGAAAGCUGAUCUAUAGAGUGAAGCAAGGCAGUGAAAUCAGUUCACAGAACCAGCCACUGAUUCCCUGUGAGAGAGGUGUGGCCUUGGUUUCUGGCUUUGCAGUCCCAUUCUUUAAGUGGCACAGUGCUGUGCUUCAUUUCCUUGUCCCUGGGUGCCAGUGAUUUUUUUUUCCCCUGUUAGAUCCUUAAGGUAAAUCCUUUUCUUAAACAGGCAUGAAUGAAUCAGUGUCUUUUCCUUGCAGUUAGAUAGCUCCGACUUAGACACCUAAGUUUUGAUCCUUAAUGAUUGAGAAGAUGGUGAUCCCAUUAACUGUGAUAGGGAAGAUAAGGAAGAGGCUUACAAAAGAGAAGACUUUAGUGGCGCCUGGGUGGCUCAGUCGGUUAAGCAUCUGACUUCAGCUCAGGUCAUGAUUUCACAGUCCGUGAUUUCAAUCCCUGUGUCGGGCUCUGUGCUGACUGCUUGGAGCCUGGAGCCUGCUUCAGAUUCUGUGUCUCCCUCUCUCUGACCCUCCCCCGUUUAUGCUCUGUCUUUCUCUGUCUCAAAAAUAAAUAAAUACUG